AUGGCGACCGGCGCACGGGUGAGUAACACGUAUCCAACCUGCCGAUAACUCGGGGAUAGCCUUUCGAAAGAAAGAUUAAUACCCGAUGGUAUAAUCAGACCGCAUGGUUUGAUUAUUAAAGAAUUUCGGUUAUCGAUGGGGAUGCGCUCCAUUAGGCAGUUGGUGAGGUAACGGCUCACCAAACCUUCGAUGGAUAGGGGUUCUGAGAGGAAGGUCCCCCACAUUGGAACUGAGACACGGUCCAA
rnacentral:rRNA from 1 species